AUACAUGCAGUCGAGCGGACCGACGGGAGCUUGCUCCCUUAGGUCAGCGGCGGACGGGUGAGUAACACGUGGGUAACCUGCCUGUAAGACUGGGAUAACUCCGGGAAACCGGGGCUAAUACCGGAUGCUUGAUUGAACCGCAUGGUUCAAUCAUAAAAGGUGGCUUUUAGCUACCACUUACAGAUGGACCCGCGGCGCAUUAGCUAGUUGGUGAGGUAACGGCUCACCAAGGCGACGAUGCGUAGCCGACCUGAGAGGGUGAUCGGCCACACUGGGACUGAAACACGGCCCAAACUCCUACGGGAGGCAGCAGUAGGGAAUCUUCCGCAAUGGACGAAAGUCUGACGGAACAACGCCGCGUGAGUGAUGAAGGUUUUCGGAUCGUAAAACUCUGUUGUUAGGGAAAAACAAGUACCGUUCGAAUAGGGCGGUACCUUGACGGUACCUAACCAGAAAGCCACGGCUAACUACGUGCCAGCAGCCGCGGUAAUACGUAGGUGGCAAGCGUUGUCCGGAAUUAUUGGGCGUAAAGCGCGCGCAGGCGGUUUCUUAAGUCUGAUGUGAAAGCCCCCGGCUCAACCGGGGAGGGUCAUUGGAAACUGGGGAACUUGAGUGCAAAAGAGGAGAGUGGAAUUCCACGUGUAGCGGUGAAAUGCGUAGAGAUGUGGAGGAACACCAGUGGCGAAGGCGACUCUCUGGUCUGUAACUGACGCUGAGGCCGCGAAAGCGUGGGGAGCGAACAGGAUUAGAUACCCCUGGUAGUCCACGCCGUAAACGAUGAGUGCUUAGUGUUAGAGGGUUUCCGCCCUUUAUUGCUGCAGCAAACGCAUUAAGCACUCCCGCCUGGGGAGUACGGGUCGCAAAGACU
rnacentral:rRNA from 1 species